GCCACGGUAGCUCAGUUGGUAGAGCAUAGCACUGAAAAUGCUAGGGUCCCCGGUUCGAGCCCGGGCUGUGGCACCA
rnacentral:tRNA from 1 species